rnacentral:rRNA from 1 species
AGAGUUUGAUCAUGGCUCAGGACGAACGCUGGCGGCGCGCCUAACACAUGCAAGUCGAGCGAGAACCGGGGCUUCGGCCUCGGGGACAGCGGCGAACGGGUGAGUAACACGUGGAUAACCUGCCCUCGGCACCGGAAUAGCCCGGGGAAACCCGGAUUAAUGCCGGAUGGCCCCACAUCCCUGCGGGGAACGUGGGAAAAGGUAGCUUCGGCCUCUGGCCGAGGAUGGGUCCGCGGUGGAUUAGCUUGUUGGUGGGGUAAUGGCCCACCAAGGCGACGAUCCAUAGCUGGUCUGAGAGGACGAUCAGCCACACUGGGACUGAGACACGGCCCAGACUCCUACGGGAGGCAGCAGUGGGGAAUCUUGCGCAAUGGGCGAAAGCCUGACGCAGCGACGCCGCGUGCGGGAAGAAGGCCUUAGGGUUGUAAACCGCUUUCAGGAGGGACGAAGCUACUCGGGUGAAUAGCCCAGAGGGUGGCGGUACCUCCAGAAGAAGCCCCGGCUAACUACGUGCCAGCAGCCGCGGUAAUACGUAGGGGGCAAGCGUUGUCCGGAUUCAUUGGGCGUAAAGAGCGUGUAGGCGGCCAGGUAGGUCGGUUGUGAAAACUGGAGGCUCAACCUUCAGAGGUCGACCGAAACCAUCUGGCUAGAGUCCGGGAGAGGAGAGUGGAAUUCCUGGUGUAGCGGUGAAAUGCGCAGAUAUCAGGAAGAACACCCGUGGCGAAAGCGGCUCUCUGGAACGGUACUGACGCUGAGACGCGAAAGCGUGGGGAGCGAACAGGAUUAGAUACCCUAGUAGUCC